AAGUCGUAACAAGGUUUCCGUAGGUGAACCUGCGGAAGGAUCAUUAACGAGCGCUGCCUUCGGGCAACCCUCCCACCCUAUGUUAACGUACCUGUUGCUCUGGCAGCUUGCCGGAGCCUCUAAACUCUAUUAAAAUGUCGUCUGAGUAUACAAACAAAAUUUGUCAAAACUUUCAACAACGGAUCUCUUGGUUCUG
rnacentral:misc_RNA from 1 species